rnacentral:rRNA from 1 species
AUUGAACGCUGGCGGCAGGCCUAACACAUGCAAGUCGAACGGUAACAGAAAGCAGCUUGCUGCUUUGCUGACGAGUGGCGGACGGGUGAGUAAUGUCUGUGAAACUGCCUGAUGGAGGGGGAUAACUACUGGAAACGGUAGCUAAUACCGCAUAACGUCGCAAGCCCAAAGAGGGGGACCUUCGGGCCUCUUGCCAUCGGAUGUGCCCAGAUGGGAUUAGCUUGUUGGUGGGGUAACGGCUCACCAAGGCGACGAUCCCUAGCUGGUCUGAGAGGAUGACCAGCCACACUGGAACUGAGACACGGUCCAGACUCCUACGGGAGGCAGCAGUGGGGAAUAUUGCACAAUGGGCGCAAGCCUGAUGCAGCCAUGCCGCGUGUAUGAAGAAGGCCUUCGGGUUGUAAAGUACUUUCAGCGGGGAGGAAGGGAGUAAAGUUAAUACCUUUGCUCAUUGACGUUACCCGCAGAAGAAGCACCGGCUAACUCCGUG